UCGCAGCCUAUUAAGCCGACCAGCGUUUGUUGUAAUCAGCGAUUGGUGCGCAAAGGCUGCGGACAUCAAGCUCCCUGGCUGUGUAUGCGCUCCGUGUACCGUAUAGAGCGCUUAAAGGGGCCUCGGACACAUGU